AUACAUGCAAGUCGAACGAGAUCUGGGAUUGAUUGGUGCUUGCAUCAUGAUUUACAUUUGAGUGAGUGGCGAACUGGUGAGUAACACGUGGGAAACCUGCCCAGAAGCGGGGGAUAACACCUGGAAACAGAUGCUAAUACCGCAUAACAACUUGGACCGCAUGGUCCGAGCUUGAAAGAUGGCUUCGGCUAUCACUUUUGGAUGGUCCCGCGGCGUAUUAGCUAGAUGGUGGGGUAACGGCUCACCAUGGCAAUGAUACGUAGCCGACCUGAGAGGGUAAUCGGCCACUUUGAGACUGAGACACGGCCCAAACUCCUACGGGAGGCAGCAGUAGGGAAUCUUCCACAAUGGACGAAAGUCUGAUGGAGCAACGCCGCGUGAGUGAAGAAGGGUUUCGGCUCGUAAAACUCUGUUGUUAAAGAAGAACAUAUCUGAGAGUAACUGUUCAGGUAUUGACGGUAUUUAACCAGAAAGCCACGGCUAACUACGUGCCAGCAGCCGCGGUAAUACGUAGGUGGCAAGCGUUGUCCGGAUUUAUUGGGCGUAAAGCGAGCGCAGGCGGUUUUUUAAGUCUGAUGUGAAAGCCUUCGGCUCAACCGAAGAAGUGCAUCGGAAACUGGGAAACUUGAGUGCAGAAGAGGACAGUGGAACUCCAUGUGUAGCGGUGAAAUGCGUAGAUAUAUGGAAGAACACCAGUGGCGAAGGCGGCUGUCUGGUCUGUAACUGACGCUGAGGCUCGAAAGUAUGGGUAGCAAACAGGAUUAGAUACCCUGGUAGUCCAUACCGUAAACGAUGAAUGCUAAGUGUUGGAGGGUUUCCGCCCUUCAGUGCUGCAGCUAACGCAUUAAGCAUUCCGCCUGGGGAGUACGGCCCGCAAGGCUGAAACUCAAAGGGAAUUGACGGGGGCCCGCACAAGCGGUGGAACAUGUGGUUUAAAUUCGCAAAGCUACGCGAAGAACCUUACCAGGUCUUGACAUACUAUGCAAGUCUAAAAGAUUCAGACGUUCCCUUCGGGGACAAUGGAUACAGGUGGUGCAUGGUUGUCGUCAGCUCGUGUCGUGAGAUGUGUAGUCGUACCGGCCUACGAGCGCAACUAUAUCGUGCAGUUGCCCUCAGUGAACUGGGAGCUGCGGCACGGAAGCGUAACUGAUCCAUGCCUAAGCUGGGGAUGACGUCCACGUGCCACGUCUGACCUGGGCAUCACACGUUGUACCGGUCAUGCGGAUAGGACUUCAGCAUCAGUCCGAU
rnacentral:rRNA from 2 species